UAUGUUAGAUAUCCGAUUUUAUGAGUUUGGUAGUCAUUUUAAUGUAACAGUUUAAAAUAUGCCAACAGUAGGCUAUGUCUAAUUUCCACGAUUUCUUAAAAUAUAACGGAUGCUUAUCAGCAUGCGCACGCACUUCCCCACCCAACUGACUUUUAAAAUCCAACCACUGCUGCCGAGUCCGACUUCAGUUCAACCGUCAUUUUUCUGUCAUGUAUCUGAAGCUGUACAAACUCUGCCGUCUUCAUAUCCAAGAGACAGGCGGCUGACCCACGUCAAUACCGAAGUAAAUGCCAGGGAUCUUUAGUUUGUGAAAGGCGGUGAGUUGUGACGACUGCUGUCCUGAGACCAUUGAGUGCAGUCUGGAAUAUUCCAAAUGUGUGCCAGUUCCAUAAGAAAAAAGUUCCAAUCAAGAGUACACUCACCA